rnacentral:rRNA from 1 species
CAGUAGCCACGGUAAUACGUAGGGUGCAAGCGUUAAACGGAAUUACUGGGCGUAAAGCGUGCGCAGGCGGUUUGUUAAGACAGAUGUGAAAUCCCCGGGCUCAACCUGGGAACUGCAUUUGUGACUGGCAAGCUAGAGUGUGGCAGAGGGGGGUGGAAUUCCGCGUGUAGCAGUGAAAUGCGUAGAUAUGCGGAGGAACACCGAUGGCGAAGGCAGCCCCCUGGGCCAACACUGACGCUCAUGCACGAAAGCGUGGGGAGCAAACAGGAUUAGAUACCCCGGUAGUCCCUGUCUCUUAUAU